rnacentral:rRNA from 1 species
GUAACACGUGAGUAACCUGCCCUUAACUCUGGGAUAAGCCUGGGAAACUAGGUCUAAUACCGGAUAGGAGCGCCUACCGCAUGGUGGGUGUUGGAAAGAUUUAUCGGUUUUGGAUGGACUCGCGGCCUAUCAGCUUGUUGGUGAGGUAAUGGCUCACCAAGGCGACGACGGGUAGCCGGCCUGAGAGGGUGACCGGCCACACUGGGACUGAGACACGGCCCAGACUCCUACGGGAGGCAGCAGUGGGGAAUAUUGCACAAUGGGCGAAAGCCUGAUGCAGCGACGCCGCGUGAGGGAUGACGGCCUUCGGGUUGUAAACCUCUUUCAGUAGGGAAGAAGCGAAAGUGACGGUACCUGCAGAAGAAGCACCGGCUAACUACGUGCCAGCAGCCGCGGUAAUACGUAGGGUGCGAGCGUUAUCCGGAAUUAUUGGGCGUAAAGAGCUCGUAGGCGGUUUGUCGCGUCUGUCGUGAAAGUCCGGGGCUUAACCCCGGAUCUGCGGUGGGUACGAGAGUGCAGGGGAGACUGGAAUUCCUGGUGUAGCGGUGGAAUGCGCAGAUAUCAGGAGGAACACCGAUGGCGAAGGCAGGUCUCUUGGCCCUAGCUGACGCUGAGGAGCGAAAGCAUGGGGAGCGAACAGGAUUAGAUACCCUGGUAGUCCAUGCCGUAAACGUUGGGCACUAGGUGUGGGGACCAUUCCACGGUUUCCGCGCCGCAGCUAACGCAUUAAGUGCCCCGCCUGGGGAGUACGGCCGCAAGGCUAAAACUCAAAGGAAUUGACGGGGGCCCGCACAAGCGGCGGAGCAUGCGGAUUAAUUCGAUGCAACGCGAAGAACCUUACCAAGGCUUGACAUGUUCUCGAUCGCCGUAGAGAUA